rnacentral:misc_RNA from 1 species
GCUGCAGGGAUUAACAAAAAGCUUGCCCUUACUAUUGGAAUUGCUGUCGACUACAGGCGUAAAAACAAGAGUUUGGAAUCACAGCAGCAAAACACUCAGAGACUGAAGGAGUACAAGUCCAAACUGAUCCUCUUCCCCAAGAAACAGAGCAAACCCAAGAAGGGAGAUGCCACAGAGGAGGAAAUCAAGAUGGCAACUCAGUUGACUGGCCUAGUUAUGCCAAUCAAAAAAGCAUACAAACCUGAAAAAGCAAGGAAAAUUACUGAUGCAGAGAAGAAAUUCAGUGCUUUCACUGCUCUCCGUCAAGCCCGUGCUGCCAAGAGACUGCAGGGCUUCCGUGAGAAGAAGGCCAGAGAAAAGGCAGAGGAGGAGGCCAACAAGCCCAAAAAAUAAACUUCACUGUCCUUACAAUAAAUAUGUACAAAG